GCCUGGAUGGCUCAGUCAGUUGAGUGUCCGACUUCGGCUCAGGUCAUGGUCCCACGAUGUGGGUUCCAACCCCACUUUGGGUU
rnacentral:tRNA from 1 species